AAGCUGCAACAAUACUUUUGUUGAAUAAUUGAGGACCACAAUCAGUCAGAAAGGUUGUUUCCAUCAUUCCCUAUUAAAGGAACUUUCUAGAACUAGCCAGCUGUUAUCAACAUUGGCCUUAUGUUCCACCUCAAGUGUGAGUAAGCCCUGUGGACAGUGGAGAGGAGACCGAGUGCUGACAUCACACACGAGGGGCAGAGAUUCAGAUGGGGCUUUUGGAGAUAAUUUCUAUGACAAAGUAACCUGUGAGCUUCAGCCAACAGUGAGAAGUUCAGGGGCCUCACAGCUGCAAAGGCAGCAAAGUAGUGGACACAUUGACUGUAUCCAAAGGUAAGGAAUUAUGUUACAAUGAUCAACCCCUCAAGGGCCACUCCUUGUUCCGUGGGUGUUAACUCAAGGCCUCAUUUGUUUCAGGUGUGCUUUAACUGAAAAAUGUCCACUGAGGGUGGUUGAAGAACUCUUUUGACAUUGGGAGACUCAACAUCUUGUGUCCAGUCUUUGGCAUUUUUGAUAUUUGAAAGACAGCCUGUUACUCUUGUAUGAAAAAGCUAGGCUAUAUUAAUUGCAUUAUUCAUAUUAUCUAACCUCCAGAAUGUGCUUCUGUGUACA
rnacentral:lncRNA from 1 species